UGGGGAAUAUUGGACAAUGGGCGAAAGCCUGAUCCAGCCAUGCCGCGUGUGUGAAGAAGGUCUUCGGAUUGUAAAGCACUUUAAGUUGGGAGGAAGGGCAGUAAGCGAAUACCUUGCUGUUUUGACGUUACCGACAGAAUAAGCACCGGCUAACUCUGUGCCAGCAGCCGCGGUAAUACAGAGGGUGCAAGCGUUAAUCGGAAUUACUGGGCGUAAAGCGCGCGUAGGUGGUUCGUUAAGUUGAAUGUGAAAGCCCCGGGCUCAACCUGGGAACUGCAUCCAAAACUGGAGAGCUAGAGGAGGGCAGAGGGUGGUGGAAUUUCCUGUGUAGCGGGGAAAUGCGUAGAUAUAGGAAGGAACACCAGUGGCGAAGGCGACCACCUGGGCUCAUACUGACACUGAGGUGCGAAAGGGUGGGGAGCAAACAGG
rnacentral:rRNA from 1 species